rnacentral:lncRNA from 1 species
CAAAAGGUUCAUAUUGAACCAAAAAAAGAGAGAAGAAGCAAUAUGGCUUCCUCUGUCAUUUCUUCAGCAGCUGUUGCCACACGCAGCAAUGUUACACAAGCUAGCAUGGUUGCACCUUUCACUGGUCUCAAAUCUUCAGCCACUUUCCCUGUUACAAAGAAGCAAAACCUUGACAUCACUUCCAUUGCUAGCAAUGGUGGAAGAGUUAGCUGCAUGCAGGUAACUCACUCAUCGGUUUUCCGAAAUUGAUAUUUUCUUAGUAUGUUGUAACAUGUAAUCUGUCUUAUUUCUCGAUUCAAUUAUCUAAGGGUUAUAUGUAUGUUAGCUACUCUCUCUGGCUUAAUUUAUGUGACGGUAGUACUAUUUUAUUUUAGUUAGUAUAAAAAAGAGUGAUUUACUUUGUUUCAGUUUGUUUGUUUAAUCUUAAUUUAACAUAACUUUUAAGAAAAUUAAAAAGUCUUUUGAAUUUGUAGUUUUAAAUUAAAGUUACGUAGAAUGUAUUAAAAUAUCCUACAUUUUGUGAUUUCAAACAUGUUAACUGUCACGUGAAAAAUUAGAAUUAGAUAAUUAUCAAAAAAAAAAAAAGAGACUUUAGAAGAGUAAUAUAAACAAAUUGAAACAUGAGUAUAUGUAGUUACUGACCUCUGAUCUAGUUUAUGCCAUUAUUAUUUUUCUUUUUAAGUCUGUUUUAAAAGAAUGACAUAUUUUUAUAUUUAAUAGCAGUAUUGAUUUAAGUUUGAAAAAAAUUUCUAUUUUAUCUUUAAUGAGAUGAUUUAUAAUUACAUAAGUAUUUAUAUUAUCUUAGACCAUAAACUACGAAAAUCUCUGUUUAUUCUUAAAAUUCCAUUUACCAUUAAGUACCUCCACAUAAGAAUUAAAAAAAGAGAGUAUCUUUCAAAUUAUCUGAUAAUUCAUAGAAGUUAAAAGAUCCAAUUGCUUAACUUAUCUUUGAUUAUAUUAAACACAUGAAAAGUGUAUCCUACGUAUAAUCUCUACGUUCAAAAUUAAAGACAAAUUUAAGAUCUAGAAUUGAUGAACUCAAAAUAUCUCUAUCUUAUUAUUAUUAUGUAUAUAUACAACUUAAUUUUUCGAAAUGUUGAUGAAUGUAUGUUAAAUCCUUUACAAUAGUGCAUUUUUAGAUAAUUCGAUAAGAGUGUAACAAUAUUUUCAGAAAGUCGAUAACUUUUUUUUCUUUUUUUUUUUUGGAUAUGUGUAUAGGUGUGGCCACCAAUUAACAUGAAGAAGUACGAGACACUCUCAUACCUUCCUGAUUUGUCUGACGAGCAAUUGCUUAGUGAAAUUGAGUACCUUUUGAAAAAUGGAUGGGUUCCUUGCUUGGAAUUUGAGACUGAGGUCAAUAUCAUAUUUACUUUUGUUUUAUCGAAAAAUGAUAUAUUUUUAUAUUUAGAUACGAUUUAUAUUUAACACUUCAAUGUUUUUUUUAUGUGUAGCACGGAUUUGUCUACCGUGAGAACAACAAGUCACCAGGAUA